rnacentral:rRNA from 1 species
GAUGAACGCUGGCGGCGUGCCUAAUACAUGCAAGUCGAGCGAACGGACGAGAAGCUUGCUUCUCUGAUGUUAGCGGCGGACGGGUGAGUAACACGUGGAUAACCUACCUAUAAGACUGGGAUAACUUCGGGAAACCGUAGCUAAUACCGGAUAAUAUUUUGAACCGCAUGGUUCAAAAGUGAAAGACGGUCUUGCUGUCACUUAUAGAUGGAUCCGCGCUGCAUUAGCUAGUUGGUAAGGUAACGGCUUACCAAGGCAACGAUGCAUAGCCGACCUGAGAGGGUGAUCGGCCACACUGGAACUGAGACACGGUCCAGACUCCUACGGGAGGCAGCAGUAGGGAAUCUUCCGCAAUGGGCGAAAGCCUGACGGAGCAACGCCGCGUGAGUGAUGAAGGUCUUCGGAUCGUAAAACUCGGUUAUUAGGGAAGAACAUAUGUGUAAGUAACUGUGCACAUCUUGACGGUACCUAAUCAGAAAGCCACGGCUAACUACGUGC